AUAUCCUUACUGUUGUAAUUGCAGAUUUGUAAACUGUAUUAAUAGCGUUAAUCGCCAUUUUCAUUCUGUGGACUCUUAGCUUAAAAACUUCAGUCAUGGCUACUGCUUUGUGUUAAAGCAAUUGAAUUAUUACAGAAUGAGUAAGCUAAUAGCAUUAAUUGCCAUUUUCAUUCUAUGGACUCUCAGCUUAAAAACUUCAGUGGUGGCUACUGCUUUGCGUUAAAGCUAUUGAAUUAUUACAGAAUGAGUUGAAGUUGACUGGGGGCUUUUUUCAUUUUUGUUCUGGUGUUAUUCAUAUAAUGGACGCUCCUUGUAGGAACUAUUGGUUACCACGCAGCAUGACUAAUUGUGGAAUUUGAAUGAAGUUCAUAUUUCAUUAGCCUUGAUGCCAAAAACUAAAAAGGAAAAAAAUCUGUUGUCUGUCAGGAUGUACAAUGAGGCGAUCUCAUAUUAUGAGAAGGCACUUGCCCUUUCGACCAGAAGUUUGAGCACCUAUGCAGGUCUGGCGUACACUCAUCAUUUGCAGGAUAAUUUCAAUUCUGCAAUUAGAUAUUACCAUAACGUACACUUACAAGUUGGGGCAUAGGUUAUUCAAUGGUUCGUACAUUUGGAGUUAGACAUAUCACUUCGAAGCAUCUCCUUAUCUUGGACAAGAUUCUUUACAGUGUGUAGUAAUUUUUCGUGACAUGGGAAAGGUAGGAACUCUCUUGGAAACCUUUCUCAUGCACAUAGAUUGAUGGUUUUGUAUGCCUUAUUCCUCUCCUUUCAUUUCCAUGAAACAAUGCUUAGUAUUUUUAUUUAUUUAUAUUGUUUUUAAAAAAAAAAAGGGUAAACAGUAUAAAACUAGGUUGAACAUUCACAUCUAGUAGACCAACCAAAUCCUCUCAUGGAGGUGUAAUAUUUAUGUCCAAAAAAUACAAGUAAAAAAGCAAAAAGAAUAUCCAACAAUGUAACGACAUUCUCUCAGAAGGAAAAGAAAU